UGGCUCAGUUGGUAGAGCAUGGUGUUUGCAACACCAGAGUUGUGGGUUCGAUUCCCAC
rfam:Salmo salar isolate Sally breed double haploid chromosome ssa13, whole genome shotgun sequence.